AAGAAAAGCCACAUGAGUUGUAGGAGAAGUUCUCACGGAAGCAGCUAAGAUGAGCUGGCUGCUGCAUUUGACCGUCAGCCUUUGUGGGAGGCCAGUUUUUCAUAAGCCAGUCCCAGAAGCUGUCGUUCAGAAGAGGAAGAGCAACAAAGACAGCUCUGUCAGCAACGAGAAAAUGGAAGUCACAGGCAAAACCAGAAAACGCUGUCCCCUGGAAUCAUCAUGAUCUGCAGGAUAAUUGUGCCAAGCUCGGACGCCCAGGAGUGGACGCUGAUGGCCAUGCCAGGAUGAAUCUUUUCUCAAAAGUCCGGAGUUGAGGAAAGUGAUGACGGGCAGAGGCAGAUGCAGACGAACUGGAAACCCACCACAGCUGGAAUGAGGAGGCUCAAAGGACGUAGAAGCCCCCAUAUCCAGCUCUCAGAAUACUGAAAUAGUGGAUUCCAAGAAAUUAAAAGUGCCCUAGGAGCCUCAGGCUUGGAAAAGGAAAAGGCUGAGGGGGCUCUAGUCCCCAGAAGGACAUUUCACUCAGUGUUGACAAGCUGUCAGACGGCCAAGUAGCAGGCAGGAUGGAGCAGAGACAAGGAUGGCUCAGGGAUGGCUGGACCCGACCUUCCCCAGGGCUCCUCAGUUAUUCACGCUCUGCUCUUUGUUUAAACUAAAACUUCAUCUCAAGACCCCAAAGAUGGACUUCAGGGGAGGGGGGCACUUGACACCCCAUCUCUCUCCCUAAUGUAGCUACUCUGGAAACAAACAAACACUUUUUUUUUAUCAUUAUUGCUUGUUUUCUGAGGGCAAGUCACUGGGCUCAAUGUGAGAGCUACUGGGGCCCAGACUAUCCCCAGUUGCUCCAGAAACAGUGCUUGCUAUUUGGUAGACAUUAAGCACGCCAUGUAGUCUGAGGGAACCUCAGGUCUGUCUUAGUAAUUCUACUUCUUGUCCGGGUUCUGGGUACUACCUUCAUUCUACCAGGGAGCUCAGGUAACUCAGCUAACUAACAUAAAGACCAGCCCUUCUAUUGGGAUCCAGGUCAAAUGAAAACAGGGAAGAAAGAUGGGGGAGAAGAGAAGGCAAAGAAACUACUGUUUUACAAUUUGUCAUUCAUUUUUAAUGCUUGCUGUAUCCCACUCUGUGCCAACCUGUGUUAGGUACCAGAAAGAUACCUGUGGGUGAAGUGUCCCUCCACCGCGAGUCUUUCAGAGCUUCUGGGAUGAUGUUGACCACUGAAACAGCACUCAAUGCAAGGAGAGCGUGAGACCCAGGUUCCAGCAGGGCUGCUGGGGAUGGGAGAGCUUGGGUUAUUGACUUGGGCACUCCUUUCUUCUUCUUCUUCUUCUUCUUCUUCUUCUUCUUCUUCUUCUUCUUCUUCUUCUUCUUCUUCUUCUUCUUCUUCUUCUUCUUCCUCCUCUUCCUCCUCCUCCUCCUCCUCCUCCUCUUCCUCCUCCUCCUCCUCCUCCUCCUCUUCCUCCUCCUCCUCCUCCUCCUCCU
rnacentral:lncRNA from 1 species